rnacentral:RNase_P_RNA from 1 species
UCAGACGGCCGGAUGGCUGCUCCACGCGCAAGCGCGGAGAGGAAAGUCCGGGCUCCACGGAAACACGGUGCCGGGUAAUGCCCGGCGGGGGCGACCCCAGGGACAGUGCAACAGAAAGUAGACCGCCUGCGCGCUUCGGCCCGCGGGCAAGGGUGAAAGGGUGCGGUAAGAGCGCACCGCGGUAGCGGUAACGUUUACCGGCAAGGCAAACCCCACCAGGUGCAAUGCCAAAUAGGGACCCGCGCGGGAGGUUUUACCUCUUGCACCGGCUUCUCGUCGGUUGAGGUUCGGGUAGGCAGCUUGAGCAGAUGAGUAAUGGUCUGCCUAGAUGAAUGGUCACUAAUCAGGGCAACCUGAGAUAAACAAAACUCGGCUUACAGGCCCGCUUUCA